CCCCUCUGAGGACCACACCUGGAGAGUUUCCAGUUCUCUACCAGUCUUGACUAUGAGAGGAAAAAGUCCAGCAGAGGCCUACCCAUUCCAUUUCUACCUUGGGUUGUGGCUAGAGAGUGGAAGGCAAUCUGCUACAAGA